rnacentral:piRNA from 1 species
UAGAAGCCAUUGACAAAAUCG